rnacentral:rRNA from 1 species
AUUGAACGCUGGCGGCAUGCCUUACACAUGCAAGUCGAACGGCAGCACGGGGCAACCUGGUGGCGAGUGGCGAACGGGUGAGUAAUGCAUCGGAACGUACCUUUCAGUGGGGGAUAACGUAGCGAAAGUUACGCUAAUACCGCAUAUUCUGUGAGCAGGAAAGCAGGGGAUCGCAAGACCUUGCGCCGAUUGAGCGGCCGAUGUCAGAUUAGCUAGUUGGUGAGGUAAAGACUCACCAAGGCGACGAUCUGUAGCGGGUCUGAGAGGAUGAUCCGCCACACUGGAACUGAGCCACGGUCCGGACUCCUACGGGGGGCAGGAGUGGGGAAUGUUGGACAAUGGGGGCAACCCUGAUCCAGCCAUGCCGCGUGAGUGAAGAAGGCCUGCGGGUUGUAAAGCUCUUUCGGCCGGGAAGAAAUCGCACGGGCUAAUACCCUGUGUGGAUGACGGUACCGGAGUAAGAAGCACCGGCUAACUACGUGCCAGCAGCCGCCGUAACAC